rfam:Candidate division WOR-1 bacterium RIFOXYC2_FTLL_41_25 rifoxyc2_full_scaffold_259, whole genome shotgun sequence.
GCGCCUAUAGCUCAGCUGGAUUAGAGUGCUUCCCUGCGAAGGAAGAGGUCGUGCGUUCGAAUCGCACUAGGCGCA